rnacentral:rRNA from 5 species
AAAUUGAAGAGUUUGAUCAUGGCUCAGAUUGAACGCUGGCGGCAGGCCUAACACAUGCAAGUCGAACGGUAACAGGAAGCAGCUUGCUGUUUCGCUGACGAGUGGCGGACGGGUGAGUAAUGUCUGGGAAACUGCCUGAUGGAGGGGGAUAACUACUGGAAACGGUAGCUAAUACCGCAUAACGUCGCAAGACCAAAGAGGGGGACCUUCGGGCCUCUUGCCAUCGGAUGUGCCCAGAUGGGAUUAGCUUGUUGGUGGGGUAACGGCUCACCAAGGCGACGAUCCCUAGCUGGUCUGAGAGGAUGACCAGCCACACUGGAACUGAGACACGGUCCAGACUCCUACGGGAGGCAGCAGUGGGGAAUAUUGCACAAUGGGCGCAAGCCUGAUGCAGCCAUGCCGCGUGUAUGAAGAAGGCCUUCGGGUUGUAAAGUACUUUCAGCGGGGAGGAAGGGAGUAAAGUUAAUACCUUUGCUCAUUGACGUUACCCGCAGAAGAAGCACCGGCUAACUCCGUGCCAGCAGCCGCGGUAAUACGGAGGGUGCAAGCGUUAAUCGGAAUUACUGGGCGUAAAGCGCACGCAGGCGGUUUGUUAAGUCAGAUGUGAAAUCCCCGGGCUCAACCUGGGAACUGCAUCUGAUACUGGCAAGCUUGAGUCUCGUAGAGGGGGGUAGAAUUCCAGGUGUAGCGGUGAAAUGCGUAGAGAUCUGGAGGAAUACCGGUGGCGAAGGCGGCCCCCUGGACGAAGACUGACGCUCAGGUGCGAAAGCGUGGGGAGCAAACAGGAUUAGAUACCCUGGUAGUCCACGCCGUAAACGAUGUCGACUUGGAGGUUGUGCCCUUGAGGCGUGGCUUCCGGAGCUAACGCGUUAAGUCGACCGCCUGGGGAGUACGGCCGCAAGGUUAAAACUCAAAUGAAUUGACGGGGGCCCGCACAAGCGGUGGAGCAUGUGGUUUAAUUCGAUGCAACGCGAAGAACCUUACCUGGUCUUGACAUCCACGGAAGUUUUCAGAGAUGAGAAUGUGCCUUCGGGAACCGUGAGACAGGUGCUGCAUGGCUGUCGUCAGCUCGUGUUGUGAAAUGUUGGGUUAAGUCCCGCAACGAGCGCAACCCUUAUCCUUUGUUGCCAGCGGUCCGGCCGGGAACUCAAAGGAGACUGCCAGUGAUAAACUGGAGGAAGGUGGGGAUGACGUCAAGUCAUCAUGGCCCUUACGACCAGGGCUACACACGUGCUACAAUGGCGCAUACAAAGAGAAGCGACCUCGCGAGAGCAAGCGGACCUCAUAAAGUGCGUCGUAGUCCGGAUUGGAGUCUGCAACUCGACUCCAUGAAGUCGGAAUCGCUAGUAAUCGUGGAUCAGAAUGCCACGGUGAAUACGUUCCCGGGCCUUGUACACACCGCCCGUCACACCAUGGGAGUGGGUUGCAAAAGAAGUAGGUAGCUUAACCUUCGGGAGGGCGCUUACCACUUUGUGAUUCAUGACUGGGGUGAAGUCGUAACAAGGUAACCGUAGGGGAACCUGCGGUUGGAUCACCUCCUUACCUUAAAGAAGC